CAGGAGGGGAACUAACCCGGACGAAAGUCGGACUAAUACCGCAUAAAACAAGGGGCACCGCAUGGUGAUAAUUUGUUAAAGAAAUUCGCUGAUAGGAUGGGCAUGCGUUCCAUUAGGUAGUUGGUGAGGUAACGGCUCACCAAGCCGACGAUGGAUAGGGGAACUGAGAGGUUGGUCCCCCACACUGGUACUGAGACACGGACCAGACUCCUACGGGAGGCAGCAGUGAGGAAUAUUGGUCAAUGGGCGAGAGCCUGAACCAGCCAAGUCGCGUGAAGGAAGAAGGAUCUAUGGUUCGUAAACUUCUUUUGCAGGGGAAUAAAGUGCAGGACGUGUCCUGUUUUGUAUGUACCCUGAGAAUAAGGAUCGGCUAACUCCGUGCCAGCAGCGGC
rnacentral:rRNA from 1 species